rnacentral:rRNA from 1 species
UACGGGGGGGGCAAGCGUUGUUCGGAAUUACUGGGCGUAAAGGGCGCGUAGGCGGUCUGUUAAGUCGGAUGUGAAAACUCUGGGCUCAACCCAGAGCCUGCAUCCGAAACUGGCAGGCUAGAGUUCUGGAGGGGGUAGCGGAAUUCCUGGUGUAGCGGUGAAAUGCGUAGAUAUCAGGAGGAACACCGGUGGCGAAGGCGGGAUCCUGGGCCAGUACUGACGCUGAGGAGCGAAAGCGUGGGGAGCAAACAGG